rnacentral:rRNA from 1 species
AUGCUCCUUGUUAUCUGCCAUGCGAUUAGAAAACAUUGUACCAACAAUGAUCUUGGCGGUUUCGUUCAGCUUGUAGAUCUAGAGUGUUUUCAGCAGUCUGAACAAGAAACCAUGACGAGUGUAAAUUUGUCAUGUAAAUCAAAGCCUGGUAUGCACCACCAACAAAUUUGUUAUGGCAAUGUCUGGAAUGACGCUGCAUCGCCAUCCUCCGCCAAUGAGUUAUUCUUUCUCCCUGCUGCCUUUUUCGCUGUCGCUGUGUAUACGCUGCCCUGCCCUGCCCUUACCGUUUAUUGUUGCUUGUUGCUGCCGGACUGCCGCCUCCUCUGUUAA